CAGGGAGACAACAAAAUGUUUAAUAUUAUUAUUUUGUCACCUUAGGUCGAUCGGUAUCUCACGUUUUUAAUUUAUUAAGAAUUUCAUUUCCUAAGUUUUUCUAGGUCACACCCAUAUAUUUUUCCUGGGCCAUUAGCUCAGGUGGUUAGAGCGCACCCCUGAUAAGGGUGAGGUCCCUGGUUCAAGUCCAGGAUGGCCCAUAUCUCUAUGUUGGGGGUAUAGCUCAGUUGGUAGAGCGCCUGCUUUGCAAGCAGGAUGUCAGCGGUUCGAGUCCGCUUACCUCCACUGAUCACCACCUCUUCCAUAAUCGGUAGAAAGGAAAUUUUUUGAGUUGUGAUCUAAUUCUGAAAGAAUCUAGCUUCCUAAUGAAAUCAUUAAGAUGCUGGACUCAUUGAAUUAAUUUCAUUGUUUUCAGAGAACCUUGACAACUGCAUAGAUUAUUUUUAAAGACAAUAAGCAUCUUUAAUGAUGCAGAUUUAUUAUUUGUGCGAAUGCAUUAAUAACAAUUCUAUUAAGCUGAUGCUUCAAUUUUUGAAGUUAUU
rnacentral:tRNA from 1 species